rnacentral:sRNA from 12 species
GCUUUCAACAUCCCCGCCCGCGACAGGACAGGAUGACCGUUGCAGGGCUGAAGGC